AUUUAAAUGAUGUUUCCAACUUAUAACUUUCACAAUGAUAUUUGAAUACAACAUGAUAGUAACUUUAAUCUGAUAAA
ensembl:snoRNA snoRNA:Me28S-C3351